GACGAACGCUGGCGGCGUGCUUAACACAUGCAAGUCGAACGGAAAGGCCCUGCUUUUGUGGGGUGCUCGAGUGGCGAACGGGUGAGUAACACGUGAGUAACCUGCCCUUGACUUUGGGAUAACUUCAGGAAACUGGGGCUAAUACCGGAUAGGAGCUCCUGCUGCAUGGUGGGGGUUGGAAAGUUUCGGCGGUUGGGGAUGGUCUCGCGGCUUAUCAGCUUGUUGGUGGGGUAGUGGCUUACCAAGGCUUUGACGGGUAGCCGGCCUGAGAGGGUGACCGGCCACAUUGGGACUGAGGUACGGCCCAGACUCCUACGGGAGGCAGCAGUGGGGAAUAUUGCACAAUGGGCGGAAGCCUGAUGCAGCAACGCCGCGUGCGGGAUGACGGCCUUCGGGUUGUAAACCGCUUUCGCCUGUGACGAAGCGUGAGUGACGGUAAUGGGUAAGGAAGCACCGGCUAACUACGUG
rnacentral:rRNA from 1 species